GUCUGGGGAACUCCGCUCUUCUGACCUAGUCUGACCCUUUCCCCUACUCUAACCCGAGCAGCAUCUGGGAAUGGGCUCGCUGGCCAGCCCUUCAGGAAGGAUGGGAGAGCACCUCGGGAGUCUGUAGCCUGUGCUUCGGUGGCACCCCCACCCCAAGCACCUUCGUUCUAGAGAGGGGCACAAAAUUGUGGUUCAGUUCAUCCGCUAGCCCUACCAAGGGGUGGGGUGGUAAAGGAAGACAUUCUGGAACCUCCUCAUGCGCAUGAAAGCAUUUUCAACUUUCCUCUGAAGAAUCUGAUACCGGUCAGAAAUCAGUAGAAAAAAUGUGAAGCCGGACUUUUCACUGUGAAUAUGAAGGAGAAGACACUGAAGUAAAACUUCAUACAAAUGGUGGUCACUAGAUGCAGAGGAAAACAACAUAAGCGGUGACAGACAGCAUUACAUUACAUCUGAAAUCUCCUUGGGAUUGAGAGGCGGACAGUGCUGUGGAGAUUUGUCUGAGGACAGAAAUGAUAAUUCUGCAAGGAUUUAUACCUCAAACACUCCCAUUUCAUACCUACUGAAGUACCUAACCGAAGAGUAGUACUAAUGGUUCAUAUGCAGAUCCACCCAUGUCUAAAGGUUAAUUCUUAUCAGAUGUAUUUUCAGUCUCUAAUGCAAACUAAGAGGUGGGAAGAAAAAUACUGUAAUAAAAGCAAUUCAGACUGUUUCUGCUUUCAGGUGUCUAUGGAUCAAUAAAAGCAUGGAUUAUACUGAGUAUUCAGACAUUAACUCUAGGAUAACAGCAAGGUUUUUGUUUUCAUUUAACACAUGCAUGUACAUUACAUCUAUUUGCUAGUGACCUGCAACAGCUCCAGUGGCCCCUUGCUUUACUUGCUACUUAAUCUUUUUAAAAUAUUAUGCUUGGUAAAGGUUGUGUUGAUUAUAAAUAAUGUAGGUAAAGUGUCCAGAAUAAGUAGAUUGGGGAUUAUGAACCUGGUCUUGCUUUCAAUGAGAGUGUUAUCACUGACUUUAUUUUUUUUUUACAAGAUCAGACUCUAUAACUUCCUAAAAUGCUUAUUUUAAAAGGCACAAACUCUGUAGUAGUAUACACUGCACAUUAAAUUCAACUUAACCUUGUUAUGCUAUGGUUUGACUCUCAAUAGCCUUUAAAUCCUGUAACUAACAAAUAAAGUCUUGUAUGGCAAAUAAAA